CUUUUGGGGACUUGGCAAUGAAUAAGACUAUUUGAACUUUUAGAGCUUUCCUCAGAGAAACUCUCCAAGUGUUUAGCAGCGUACAUGGACUGAGACCCAGAAGCAGGAUGUAUCCGUCUGACUUCUCACAACUGAGGGCUGAGAGAAGGGGCUGGAGAGAGGAGGUAAACUGUAUCAGUUUCUGGCACAGAGGCUGCCAGACCUCUAAGGAUGCUGUGGAGAUGAGCGUGCUCGUGGGAGCCGGGCAGAGGAGGUUACCCAGGCAGCUCGCGGAGACGGGACGGGCUCCGGCGUUGCAGAUAACGGGAGCUCUCAGGGAUGCAGCAAAGAGAAACCUGGUGAUCUGCCUGGGGGAUGAAAGAACAGGGGACUGUGCCAGUGAGGAUGGAGAGCAGGCAUUUCUCCUUCAAGGUUGCUUGUGAAUGGCAAGUCGUCAUUCUUGAUGAUCAACAAAGCAAUCAUAUUUGUGUAGUGCUAUACCACAGCCCGUCGCUUCAGCCUCCGUGGAAGUACUGCAGCUCAUGGAAAGGCUGGAAGGAGCAGCCCAGCACUGUUUUCCUCUCUGAGGCAAGAGAUGGGUUUCCUGAACUGGAAUUUGCCCACGACAAUGAGUUUAAGGAAAUGAUUCCUCUUCCCACCUUGAUUUUUUCAGAUGAGAAAAAGCAGUAG
rnacentral:lncRNA from 1 species